AUAUUGACCUCUGAACUUUCUGGAAGAAUGUUGGGCCCCUGACGGAGCAAGUGUCUUGGACCAGCAAAAGCCAAGCAUUCUGAUGGGCACACUGAAGAUUUUCCUACUUGUAAACAAAAAGGCAGCAUUGAAGACAGGCAAGGCUCUGCUUUGAGAUUAUAUGUUCCUGGAAGAAAAUGCUCAGCUCUUGGAAUGAACCACCACUCCAGUUAACAUGGAAUCCUCAGUGCUGGUGACAGCCACCAUCUGUCACUCCUCCUUGUUGCUUUGCCUGAGAAGACUGUGGUCAGAAUGUCUGCCUGUGCACACACAGCUUUGCAUCCAUACUGAAUGCUAUUAUCUCCUGCCUGUUGACCAGAAAAUAAUUCAUCUGCUUGGUGUCUGAUUAAAACAAACCAGUAAUGCCUGUUGAGCACUGGGCCCAACCCACUCUGGAAGAGGAUUUCCGAUUGGGAGAUGAACGGGACCUGGUCGUUGCCUUCUGGAAGUGAAAACAAGUGGAACAGAAUGUUUGAUAUGCUUUGACUCAAGUGUGAAGAGUGCAGAGGACCAUGGAGGGAGGGGCUGAUCCAGAUAGACAGAGGCUUGGUCUCUGCCAUCCUUCUACAAUGCAGGAUUUAUCCAUGAAAGAUGAGAAGGUGUGAAAUAGGCCCUGCUUUGGGAAUUAGAAGAACUGUGUUUGGUUUCUUGUCUAGGUAUUUGAUAGAUUUGUGACCCCGGGCAAUUCACUUCAACUCCCUGAAUUUUCACAUCUACAAAAUAGAAAUAACAAUAGCUGCUUACUCAUCUCACAGAUUGGUGGUUUGAGGCUCAGAUGGGCUAGUAAAAAUUAAAAUCUUUAAAAAAUAUAUAAAAAUACAUAUAUAACAUCUAUACUAACAAAUGAUUUCAGUACAGUUACAGGAUACAAGAUCUACACAAAAAAAUCUGUUGUCUUUGUGUAUGCUAAUAAUGAACUAUUAUAAAGAGAAAUUUAAAAAAUAAUCCUAUUUACAACUGCAUCAAAAAUAAUAAAAUACCUGAAAUAAAUUUAAUCAUGGAGGUGAAAAACCUAUAUAUUAAAAAACCAUAAAACAUUAAUGAAAGAAACUGAAGAAGACACACAUAAAUGAAAAGAUAUUCCAUGAUCAUGGAUUGGGUGAAUCAGUAUUGUUAAAAUGUCUAUACUGCCCAAGUUAUCUACAGAGUCAAUGUAAUCCCUAUUCAUGUUCUAAUGGUAUAUUUUACAGAAGUCAAACAAAUAACCCUAAAAUUUGUAUGGAACUACAAAAGAUUCCACAGAGCCGAAGCAAUCUUGAGACAGAAGAACAAUGCUUCCUGAUUUCAAACUAUAUUAUAAAGCUAGAGUAAUUUAAAAAGCAUCGUAUUGCCAUAAAAACAGACACAUAGAUCAAUGGAACUGAGUGAAGAAGCCAGAAUUAAAAUAAGCCUGCAUGUGCAUGGCCAAUUAAUAUGACAAAGGAGCCAAGAAUACAUGAAAAGGGAAAAAACAAUCUCUUUAGUGACUGGUAUCAGGGAGACUGGACAGCCAUGUGAAAAGAAUGAGACUUGACCACUGUCUUACACCACACACAAAAAUUAACUCAAAAUGGAUUAAAGACUUGAAUAUAAGAUCUGAAACCAUAAACUCUCAGAAGAAAACAGGCAGUAAGCUCCUUGGUAUUAGUGAUAAAUUUUAAAAUCUGACACCAAAAGCAAAGGCAACAAAAGCAAAAAUACACAACUGGGACUGCAUCAAACUAAAAAGCUGCACAGCAAAGGAAGCCAUCCACAAAAUGAAAAGGCAACUUCCUGAAUGAGACAAAAUAUUUGCAAAUCAUAUAUCUGAUAAGGAGAUAAUAUUCAAAAUAUAUAAAGAAUUCAUACAACUCAACAACAAAAUAACAAUCUGACAAAAAAUGGGCAGAAGAUCUGAAUAAACAUUUUUCCAAAGAAGACAUAUGGAUGGCCAACAGACACAUGGAGAGAUGUCAGCAUAUUACUCAUCAGGGAGAUGAAAAUAAGCAAUGGCAUAUCACCUCACACCUGUUAGAAUAGCUAUUAUCAAAAAGACAAGAACCAACAGUGUUGGCAAAGAUGUGGAGAAAUGGGAAACCUUGUUUGCUGUUGGUGGGAAUGUAAACUGGUGCAGCCACCAGAGGAAACAAUAUGAGGUUUCCUCAAAAAAUUAAAAAUAGGACUACCAUAUGAUCCAGCAAUUCCACUUCUGGGUAUUUAUCUGAAGAAAACGAAUACACUAACUUGAAAAGAUGACAGCGCACCCACAUUUGUUGUGGCAUUAUUCAAAAUAGCCAAGAUUUAGAAAUAACCUGUGUCCAUUGAUGGGUAAAUGGGUAAAGAAACUAGAUAAACCUGCCUUGUAGAAGGACUGUGUAGACCAGGCCCUUAUCUAUCUUGGUAUUCCUCUCUCUCUAUCUAUAGAUAUAUGUGGAUAUAGAUAUUUUCUAAUGAAAUAUUAUUCAGCUGUAAAAAAGAAUGAAAUCUAGCCAUUUUCAAAAACAUGGAUGGACUUCAAGUACAUUAUGCUAAGUGAAAUAAGUCAGACAGAGAAACUCAAAGACUGUGUGACCUCUUUUAUAUGUGGAAUCUAAAAAAAAGCCCAAGCCAAAAAACCAACCAAUAAAAAUCUAAG